rnacentral:lncRNA from 1 species
AAUCUUUUUCCAACAUAGAGUCUUCUCUCCUUAGUUAAUGUUAUUUUAAAUAUAGGGUCUCCACUCCCUAGUCUCGUUUCCAACAUAGGGUCUCUACUCCCUAGUUGAUGUUAUUUUAGACAUAGGGUCUCCACUCCCUAGUCUCCCUUUCCAACAUAGGGUGUCCACUCCCUAGUUGAUUUUUAUUUUUUAGACAUAGGGUCUCCACUCCCUAGUCGCAUUUUCCAACAUAGGGUCUCCACUCCCUAGUUGAUGUUAUUUUAGACAUAGGGUCUCCACUCUCUAGUCUCUUUUCCAACAUUGGGUAUCCACUCCCUAGUUGAUAUUAUUUUAGACAUAGGGUCUCCACUACCUAGUCGCCUUUUCCAACAUAUGGUCUCCACUCCCUAGUUGACUUUUAUUCUUUAGACAUAGGGUCUCCACUCCCUAGUUGACUUUUAUUCUUUAGACAUAGGGUCUCCACUCCCUAGUUCUUUUUCCAACAUAGGAUCUCCACUCCCUAGUUGAUGUUAUUUUGAACAUAGGGUCUCUACUGCCUAGUCUCUUUUUCAACAUAGGGUCUACGCUCUCUAUUUGAUAUUAUUUAAAACAUA